rnacentral:tRNA from 1 species
GGGGUUGUGGCUCAGUAGUAGAGCACUUGCCUUGCAUGCAUGGAGUACUGGGUUCGAUCCUCAGCACCACA